CUAAUACUCCCUUCGUUUCAAAUUAGUUGACUUGAAUUUGCUUAAAUACAGAUGUAUCUAUACUUGUUCAGUGUCUAGAUACAUUUGUAUCUGGAUAAAUAUGGGUCAAGUAAUUUGGAAUGGAGGGAGUAGAAG
rfam:Triticum aestivum genome assembly, contig: Triticum_aestivum_CS42_TGACv1_scaffold_178886_2DS